rnacentral:rRNA from 1 species
UAUACUUUACGGAUCACAUUAUGUGACAUAUCAUUCAAGUUUCUGACCUAUCAGCUUUAGACGGUAGGGUAUUGGCCUACCGUGGCUAUGACGGGUAACGGGGAAUUAGGGUUCGAUUCCGGAGAGGGAGCCUGAGAAACGGCUACCACAUCUAAGGAAGGCAGCAGGCGCGCAAAUUACCCAAUCCUAAUACAGGGAGGUAGUGACAAGAAAUAACAAUACAGAGCCUUACGGUUUUGUAAUUGGAAUGAGUUAAGUAUAAACCCCUUAACAAGUAUCAAUUGGAGGGCAAGUCUGGUGCCAGCAGCCGCGGUAAUUCCAGCUCCAAUAGCGUAUAUUAAAGUUGUUGCAGUUAAAAAGCUCGUAGUUAAUUUUCUGUUAAUUUUUAUAUACAAUACUACGGUAUUUAUAUAAUAUUAACAUAAUUCAUAUUACUUUUUAUAUAUGAAACUUUACUUUGAGAAAAUUAGAGUGCUUAAAGCAGGCUAUUGCCUUGAAUACUCCAGCAUCGAAUAAUAUUAAGGAUUUUUAUUCUUCUUAUUGGUUCUAGAAUAAAAAUAAUGAUUAAUAGGGACAGUUGGGGGCAUUUGUAUUUAACAGUCAGAGGUGAAAUUCUUAGAUUUGUUAAAGACAAACUACUGCGAAAGCAUUUGCCAAGGAUGUUUUCAUUAAUCAAGA